rnacentral:rRNA from 1 species
GACGAACGCUGGCGGCGUGCUUAACACAUGCAAGUCGAACGGAAAGGCCCUGCUUUUGUGGGGUGCUCGAGUGGCGAACGGGUGAGUAACACGUGAGUAACCUGCCCUUGACUUUGGGAUAACUUCAGGAAACUGGGGCUAAUACCGGAUAGGAGCUCCUGCUGCAUGGUGGGGGUUGGAAAGUUUCGGCGGUUGGGGAUGGACUCGCGGCUUAUCAGCUUGUUGGUGGGGUAGUGGCUUACCAAGGCUUUGACGGGUAGCCGGCCUGAGAGGGUGACCGGCCACAUUGGGACUGAGAUACGGCCCAGAAUCCUACGGGAGGCAGCAGUGGGGAAUAUUGCACAAUGGGCGGAAGCCUGAUGAAGAAACGCCGCGUGCGGGAUGACGGCCUUCGGGUUGUAAACCGCUUUCGCAUGUGACGAGGCGUGAGUGACGGUAAUGGGUAAAGAAGCACCGGCUAACUACGUG